GAAAUACUGAUUUUGAUUAUUAUGUUACUAAGAUGCAAUGUUUGAAACAAUUGUAUGUAGAAAAUAAUUUUUACUUUUCUCAGGCCACUGUCCCAGGCAGAUGCAACCUUCUUACACCAAGAUGUUAUACCAUGGUGGAUGCAUCCUUCAGUGCGGCAGAGAAAUGGAAUCAGUGGUUGAGUGAGGUGCAAUGCAUGCAAAACAGAAAGCAUCUGCAAGGAAUCUGCUGGCUUGGUCGUGCUAGCCUUGGAAGCAUGGCAGGCUUUGCUGCACGUUCCUGUUGUCUGCUUUAGGAUCCUCGCCAGCUGACUCACCUUCGGUAUGCCUUCUGCCACCCGCUGGGUCUGGCAGGGCCAGCACCUGUUGACUCCUUGAUCAGACUUCGUUCAGCUAUCUCGUGGCGCAUGCAAAUUUCCAUUUCUAUCUGGACCUUGAUCAAAACCCGUGUGGAGAUCUUACAGAUCCGCUAGGGUAUGGCUGCAGGCCGGGCCCGUGCGGCUGAGGAGCAGCUUGCAGAGAGGUCCCAGGUGCUGUCUCUCAUCACCAGCUUUCUCUCGUUCAUCAGAUUUCAUUUUCCAGUUGGUGCAGGGGAUUGGAUUGUGCUUGCAAAUGGCCAGUAAGGAAUUCCCCUGGAGGAGGAAAGCUCCAGUUGCCAUAGAGCCAGUUCCUGCACGCUCUUCUUCCGUUCCCACUCCUCCUGCCUGGCAGCUGAUGAUAGGAAAUGACCGAGGCUGAAAACAAGGGAUCUCACUGAGCUUUACGUGGGUCGUCGAAGCAAACUAUAGAUUCCUCUUUCCUGCAUUGGGAUUGUCACUACUUGGCCAAAGAUCUUGGAGGCAGGACCUCCUGCUCAGAAGUGCCUCAUUUUCUUGUGCUCAUUGUUUUAAGGAGGACCUGACCCACAGCACCACUGGCAGCAUUUUCCUCAGGUGGCUUAAAUUACUCGGACACCCAGGGCUGAUGUGCCUGGGGUCAUGGUUUCUUUGUGUGCACAGAGGGGGGUUUCCCUGUGCAAAAGCCAUAGAUAUUGGUCGCUGCAUGUGUGCAAUUUUGGUAGUUUAACCAUCACAAGACAGGGGAGUAGGUAAAAGGAAUAGAUUUUGGAGGCUUGUCUAAACAUAAAGCCACGUGGAGGGGGCAUCUUUACCUUCUUGUUUGUCUCUAGAAUUGAAGCAGCCCCAUAGCGCCUUCUGAAUGAGCUCGUGUGGCAUCCGGGCUUUCCAUCCUCAUGGACCCAGCUAAACUGAAUUGUUUAGCUUUGUUUGCAGAAGCUGAGGAUUUGAAAACCACUUCCUAGAGCCUCACACGUUUGCCACGAUGAAAUUAGCAGGGUCGCUCUACGCAAGCGACUCACAAGUAGCAGGGCUUUAAAAGAGGUACGCAUUUCACUUCCACGGGGUAGAAUUUCCUCAUCUGGAACCUGGAAAGAGCAGACUGCUGUUGUGUAAAGAGAAAACUUCUUAUUGAUGAGAUUUGCUCAAUAUAUGUUUCAAGAGAUACACGAAGUUCUAGUGGUCUGUCCUUUUGUAGACCAGAUGACCAUACUUAGUAACCUCCCAGCCUUUCUAGGGACAUUUAAAUAUGUUUUCUGAUCUGUGAACUGUUUAUGGCUUUCCUUGGUGCAGAUAGAAAUAUUUCUCCCGUUGUAUAAUUGAGCCAAAUUAUAUUUCAAGUUAAGCAGAUUGCUUAUUUGAGAGGAAGAAGGCUGGCUUUUAAAUUGAGGUAAACUAGAAAAAUCCAAAGCAUUUUAUGGUCAUUGAAAGGGCUUUUUGAGUUGGAGGUAUGUUAGAUAUAUAUUUAUUUUGAUGAGACCAUGCAUGGUAUAAGGGAAAAAAACUUCAUCUUAAAAGUUUAACCCAAAAUAUUCUCUGGAACAAUUAUUUGAAUGAAGCCUUCUCCAGACACUAAGGUUGAAGAAUGAGUAUUAGAGCUGAAAGGUGGGACACGACCUGCACUUGGAGGUGCAGACUCCCCAGGAACUUUUGUUAGAUAAAUUGUAAUGCAGUACUUCCCCCCUAUUUAAUUGUUAGUCACACCUGUCCCCAUAUGUUUGCUCAAGUUUAUUUUCUGCAGCUGCUGCGAGUCCGUGCCAGAUGGCAACCUAGCUCCUGGAGCAUGAAGAAAAGAAGUGAAAGAGCUGUGAAGGUCCCGGAUCCCCCUGAGACUGCCUCUUUCCCUUCAAGGUCCUGAUCCUGCAGUCUGGGGGAGUACGUUUUGUAUGGGAAGGGCAUGUAAAGUCAAGUCCUUUGCGUGCUUUAACCUAAUGCAAUUAGUCUCCUCUCUUUUAGCGACUUGAGCUUCUUGUCGUUACAAGUGUGGUCAGGUGAAUGAUGUUUUUAAAAUGGAGGCAAAGAUCUUAAAUUGAGUUUGAUUAUCUAAUUAAGAUGCAGAACUUAUUUAUUUAGCUAGCCAACAAAAGAAGGUUUGGUUUUGCUUUCAGUCUGACAGUACAGGAUGCUUUGAGAUCAGUGCAUUUUAUUUGGGCACCUGAUUUUAAAUUUCCAGGUUCUUUUUUCCCUUAGCUUCCACGUGGGCUUGGCACGUAGCCUGAGUAUGUUGUGAUGAGGGUUUGUUGCACAGAACACGCAGACCAAACGUGUCUGACUCUAAUGUCUGUCUCUAAUAUUGGAGGAAACAGCAUGGAAAUUAAAACUUCUUAUAAGAAGACCCGCUUACAAGCAGGAUUUUUAAAAAGUGAAUGUGUUUCUAAACACAAUAGGAGGUGUUUGUCAUUCUGAGGAAUGAUGAGCAUCAAACUAAAAUUGUGUUUACAGUGUAAUAAUUAGUU
rnacentral:lncRNA from 1 species